GGCUUAUUGAGAAUAAUUUUAAGUCUGGCCUGCCCACUGAUUAGUUUAAAUGGCCGCGGUAUUUUGACCGUGCAAAGGUAGCAUAAUCAUUAGUUUUUUAAUUGAAAGCUUGAAUGAAGGGUUUAAUGAAAAAGUAUCUGUCUCUGUUUAAAUUUUAUAAAAUUUUAUUUUUAAGUAAAAAAGCUUAAAUAAUUGUAGAAGACGAGAAGACCCUAUAAAGUUUAAUAUUUGUGUUUAAGAUUGGGAUUUAGUAUUUUAAAAAUUUUUAAUAUAGGUAUUUAAUUGGGGUGAUUGAAAAAUUAAAUAAACUUUUUUUUUAUAAAGUCAUUUAUUUAUGAAUUUUUGAUCCUAAAUUUUAGAUUAUAAGAAAAAAUUACUUUAGGGAUAACAGCGUAAUUUUUUUUUAGAGUUCAAAUUAAAAAAAAAGAUUGCGACCUCGAUGUUGGAUUAAAAAUAAUUAUUGGUGUAGAAGCUAAUAAAUUAAGUCUGUUCGACUUUUAAAAUUUUACAUGAUCUGAGUUUAAACCGGUGUAAG
rnacentral:rRNA from 1 species